rnacentral:hammerhead_ribozyme from 1 species
GCACUGCUGAGGAGUCGCACAAUAAAACGAAAGGACCGUCUAGUGC